GAGUUUGAUCGUGGCUCAGGACGAACGCUGGCGGCGUGCCUAAUACAUGCAAGUCGAGCGGAUCUUCAUUAGCUUGCUUUGAAGAUCAGCGGCGGACGGGUGAGUAACACGUGGGCAACCUGCCUGUAAGACUGGGAUAACUUCGGGAAGCCGGAGCUAAUACCGGAUGAUCCUUUUCCUCUCAUGAGGAAAAGCUGAAAGACGGUUUCGGCUGUCACUUACAGAUGGGCCCGCGGCGCAUUAGCUAGUUGGUGAGGUAACGGCGUCACCAAGGCGACGAUGCGUAGCGACCUGAGAGGGUGAUCGGCCACACUGGGACUGAGACACGGCCCAGACUCCUACGGGAGGCAGCAGUAGGGAAUCUUCCGGCAAUGGACGAAAGGUCUGACGGAGCAACGCCGCGUGAGCGAUGAAGGCCUU
rnacentral:rRNA from 1 species